UAAUUAUCUGGGUUGUUGUCAACAACAGAAAUCGGAGUGAAAACAAACAGCCGCCAUGCUGUUUUGGGGGCCUUCGCAUCUAACUCCCUAUUGUCAAAACAGAGCUUUCUCGGAGUCAAGGACCCCAGGUUCCGAGACCCACGGCUACUCACCACGCUCUGGCUCCUUCCAUGGCUACAUUCAUCCCUGCCGUCUCCUCCAGGGUACCGGUGGAGAACCCGAGGAUGUGAGGGUUGAACUUCUUCAGAAUGUCUUUUAAGAGGGUGAAGCAGACAGGGCUCUGGAGAGCUGGGAGUGGAACUUCUGACUUGGGUGGAGACAGUCUGGAGCGAAGAAGGACAUAUCCAGGCGCCCAUCCUAAAAGAGAAAUGGAUUUCUUCGAGAUCCUAUUGGUACAGAAGGAAGGAUACUUCACACCUCUGAACCUCUGCUACCUGGGGAUGAAGAAACUCAUGGCAAAUGUCGUUGUGAAGAUUGUACCUAUGGCAAACACAGGGCUUGGCACGGGGUAGGUGCUCGAGAAAGUGGGGCCAGCUAUCCGUGGUAAUGAGCACAUCCCACAUCGGGCUGCCGCCAGGAACACAGCUCAGGUGUUCGGGGAGGCUGUGCCACAGACUGGCCUCUGGAGAGCUGCCCGGGUCUUUCCCAUAGUCUUCACACGCUCAUGAAAGCCCUUGGCAUCUCUGCCUUGAAUUUCUUCUUCCUCCUACCCAGGAGCCCCACCCGGGGAGGGCAGGGAAACGUACCGCCAGGAACGGGAGCCGGACUUUGUGGAAGAAGGGCUGAAGUACCACAGAGAAGUCCUCCCGGGUGUCAUAGCGGCCUGACCCCACCAGUUCCCGCAUGCUGCUCUGUGGACACACGCAGGCUGCUCUCAGCACAGGCCCUGGGCAGCCCGGGGGGUGGGAGGGAAGGCCAGGGCGUGGCAGCUGGCAUCCCUGCCCCCAUCUCCCUACCCAAGAGGGUGACUCAACCCUUCCCUUGAGAACACAAACACAUGUGAUUGCAAAUCUCUUUCCAGAGAAUUGGAAACAGGUUGGUUCACCUUUUGGUUUUGCUAUUAAGUGAACUGCAAGCUCUGAAGGGCGAGGCAGGAAGUCCCACAAGGGAUAAGAACCUGGGAAGAGUCUCCAGAGGGCCCCUGGGGGCUCAGGACCUGCAGCCUCCCUAUUCGUGGCCUGCCUGUUGAGGAGGGGAGGAAGGGGGCCCCCGGGGUGCAGGGAAGGAAAAGGCCCACCCAUGGAGCACCCAGAGCUACUGACCUCUUUAGGCCAAGCAUGGGGUGAAGCCACCGAGGGCAGGUGGGCCUCGAGGGCUUUGCCACCUGGAUUCCUCUGGGAUGACUCUAACUGGGGUGCCUGAGGCACUUCAGCCAGGUGGGGCAGAGAAAGGGCCCAGAAGGUGAUGUCCCUCCAACCCGGACUAGCUCUUCCCUUCCCUGAGUGCCAAUGUGUUGACUGAGGAGGGGGAGAGCAGCCCAAAUGGUGGUGCCCUUCUUGGUCUCACCUGGUAGGCUUGGGUGACGGCCUCCAACCUGGCCAGCUCUUGGGAGCUCUCCCGAGGGGUCAGAACGCAGUUACAUAACACGCUGCACAAAGAGGGGGAGGCAGGAGGACCCAGAGCAGAGGCUCUGGUCAGAGCUGGUUCUGCUGUGUGGGGUGGCUGGCUUGAGCCCUGGCUUAGGAGCACAUGUGCCCUGAGGCUCUGAUGCACGUUCUCAGGGGCAGAUUUCAGGCCUGACACAGGGACUGGACAAAGUCCCAAGGGUGUGUGCCUGAGCAUCCUCUCAUACUGAUAGAAUACAAAUACUGGACUGCAGGCACUGGGCCUCUGGCAAAUAAUGCGGAACAAAUGAACUUAGGCAAUGAAAAUCCAAUGUUUAAUUGGGUACGAACAAAAUAAAAAUGCAUCCUGUGGUAUCGGAGCUUGUAUUCGGGGGUCUCCGCUGCUCACGCCCUCAGAUGCCUCCUUAGUUCACACUAGUGUCCCCCUUCAUCAUGAAUUGUGCAUUUAUAAUGAAUCUGUUUGAAUUUCUUCAUGAAUUAUUUCACGCUCGUGAAAUAUACUUCAUGUUAAAACAGAUGUUAUCUCUAAAGCACUGAGAAUAGGGCCAGGCACACAGUAGGUUCUGUAAAACUUUGUUAAAGAAAUAAAUGUACGUAUGAGGUAGGAAGAUUAAUAAAGCACAUACCUAUGUACCUCUCACCCCACUUAAGAAAUAAAACACUCCCAUUCUGAAGUC